rnacentral:rRNA from 1 species
GACGAACGCUGGCGGCGUGCUUAACACAUGCAAGUCGAACGCUGAAGCUUGGUGCUUGCACUGGGUGGAUGAGUGGCGAACGGGUGAGUAAUACGUGAGUAACCUGCCCUUGACUCUGGGAUAAGCCUGGGAAACUGGGUCUAAUACUGGAUACGACAUGCCACUGCAUGGUGGUGUGUGGAAAGGGUUUUACUGGUUUUGGAUGGGCUCACGGCCUAUCAGCUUGUUGGUGGGGUAAUGGCCUACCAAGUCGACGACGGGUAGCCGGCCUGAGAGGGUGAACGGCCACACUGGGACUGAGACACGGCCCAGACUCCUACGGGAGGCAGCAGUGGGGAAUAUUGCACAAUGGGCGGACGCCUGAUGCAGCGACGCCGCGUGAGGGAUGACGGCCUUCGGGUGGUAAACCUCUUUCAGCACGGAAGAAGCGAGAGUGACGGUACGUGCAGAAGAAGCGCCGGCUAACUACGUG